rnacentral:rRNA from 1 species
UUGGAGGGCAAGUCUGGUGCCAGCAGCCGCGGUAAUUCCAGCUCCAAUAGCGUAUAUUAAAGUUGUUGCAGUUAAAAAGCUCGUAGUUGAAUUUCGGGGUUCUACCGUUGGUCGGGCUUUGUCUGUACUGGUGUGUAGAAUUUCUACCUUCUGGGGAACCAUCAUGCUAUUAAUUUAGCGUGGUGGGAAACCAGGACCUUUACCUUGAAAAAAUUAGUGUGUUCAAAGCAGGCUUAUGUCUGAAUACAUUAGCGUGGAAUAAUAGAAUAGGACGGUGGUCCUGUUUUGUUGGUUUCUGAAUCACCGUAAUGAUUAAUAGGGAUAGUUGGGGGCAUUAGUAUUCAAUUGUCAGAGGUGAAAUUCUUGGAUUUACUGAAGACUAACUUCUGCGAAAGCAUUUGCCAAGGAUGUUUUCAUUAAUCAAGAACGAAAGUUAGGGGAUCGAAGACGAUCAGAUACCGUCGUAGUCUUAACCAUAAACUAUGCCGACUAGGGAUCGGACGAUGUUAAUUUUUCUUGACUCGUUCGGCGCCUUACGGGAAAC